GGCCUAGUAGCUCAGUUGGCUAGAGCGUUGGCUGUNCCCCUCGCUGGCGUGGGUUCAAAUCCCAACGAGGCCG
rnacentral:tRNA from 1 species